GCUAAUGUAGCACAGUCGGUAGUGCACCGCCUUGGUAAGGCGGAGGUCACGGGUUCAAGUCCCGUCAUUAGCUCCA
rnacentral:tRNA from 1 species